CGGGAACCUCUAACUAGAGAUGAAUUUUGUUCUAACUCAACAGUCGCGAGCAUGGUUGUUACAAAGCCACUGAAGCCGACACAUCUGAGAAUGUAAGACUGGAUUAACUUAAUUGACGGAUAGCUUUGAUGCUACCGAGAGUUUAAGUCCUGAACUGAACUUAGCCCGGAUAUCCGGGCCUUGGCUAAUAAUUAAGAUACUUGAUUUGUACGUGAUCGACAAUAGUAGUUUGUAUGGUAGUUCGUAUUGAUACUAUUCUAUUUUUUAGUAAACCUA